rnacentral:sRNA from 1 species
UAUUCUGCCCCACGGGGAAGGAUGAGAAGCUUCGACUAAGGUUCGACUCGAGCGAAGCGAGAGAACGUUGCCGCAGGCAACGGCCCGAAGGGCGAGGAGCGAUAGCGACGAGUUAUCCUCUCCCCCACCACCA